GCCUACGGCCAUAUCAGCCUGGGUACGCCCGAUCUCGUCUGAUCUCGGAAGCUAAGCAGGGUCGGGCCUGGUUAGUACUUGGAUGGGAGACCGCCUGGGAAUACCAGGUGCUGUAAGCA
rnacentral:rRNA from 1 species